GAUGAACGCUAGCUACAGGCCUAACACAUGCAAGUCGUGGGGCAGCGGGUAUGCUUGUUCUCAAGUAUAUGCCGGCGACCGGCGCACGGGUGAGUAACGCGUAUCCAACCUGCCCAUCACAAGGGAAUAACCCGUCGAAAGUCGGCCUAAUGCCCUAUGUAUUCCGAUGAAGUCCUCUGAGUCGGAAUAAAGCAUUUGCGGUGAUGGAUGGGGAUGCGUCUGAUUAGCUUGUCGGCGGGGUAACGGCCCACCGAGGCGACGAUCAGUAGGGGUUCUGAGAGGAAGGUCCCCCACAUUGGAACUGAGACACGGUCCAAACUCCUACGGGAGGCAGCAGUGAGGAAUGUUGGUCAAUGGGCGUGAGCCUGAACCAGCCAAGUAGCGUGCAGGAUGACGGCCCUAUGGGUUGUAAACUGCUUUUAUACGGGGAUAAAAGGGUGAACGUGUUCUCCUUUGCAGGUACCGUA
rnacentral:rRNA from 1 species